rnacentral:pre_miRNA from 1 species
GAUUUCAUCUGAAAAAGUCAUCAAUAACAAAGUUGUAUAACUCAUCAAGAUCAAUAACUUCUAUUUUGGUCAUUUCUUCAUCCGACAAAGUGAUUUGUAAGAUUGUUCACAAAAUAUACAUCCCUUAUAUAGUUUUAUAAAAACAAUAUAGGAGAUGUUUAUUUUGUGAACAAUCUUACAAAUAACUUUAUCGGAUGAAGAAAUGACCAAAAUAGAAGUUAUAGAUCUUGAUGAGUUAUACAACUUUGUUGUUGAUGACUUUUUCAGUUGAAAUC